rnacentral:rRNA from 1 species
CCUACGGGAGGCUGCAGUGAGGAAUAUUGGUCAAUGGACGAGAGUCUGAACCAGCCAAGUAGCGUGAAGGAUGACUGCCCUAUGGGUUGUAAACUUCUUUUAUAAAGGAAUAAAACGAGGCACGUGUGCCUUUUUGCAUGUACUUUAUGAAUAAGGAUCGGCUAACUCCGUGCCAGCAGCCGCGGUAAUACGGAGGAUCCGAGCGUUAUCCGGAUUUAUUGGGUUUAAAGGGAGCGUAGAUGGGUUGUUAAGUCAGUUGUGAAAGUUUGCGGCUCAACCGUAAAAUUGCAAUUGAUACUGGCAGUCUUGAGUACAGUUGAGGUAGGCGGAAUUCGUGGUGUAGCGGUGAAAUGAUUAGAGAUCACGAAGAACCCCGAUUGCGAAGGCAGCCUACUAAACUGUGACUGACAUUGAUGCUCGAAAGUGUGGGUAUCAAACAGGAUUAGAUACCCCGGUAGUC